rnacentral:pre_miRNA from 1 species
AAAGUACGCGCGCCGUUCGGAAAUAUUUGUCAUAGGAAUGGAUGUUUCUAGACGUAUUUUAGUUCUAGAUACAUCCAUUUUUAUACAUCCGUGCGAUAAGUAAUCCCGGACGGGGGGAGUAGGUA